rnacentral:rRNA from 1 species
UCUACGGAGGCAGCAGUGGGGAUAUUGCACAAUGGGCGCAGCUGAUGCAGCGACGCGCGUGAGGGAUGACGGCUUCGGGUUUGUAAACUCUUUCAGUAGGGAAGAAGCCUUCGGGUGACGGUACCUGCAGAAGAAGCGCCGGCUAACUACGUGCCAGCAGCCGCGGUAAUACGUAGGGCGCGAGCGUUAUCCGGAAUUAUUGGGCGUAAAGAGCUCGUAGGCGGUUUGUCGCGUCUGCUGUGAAAGCCCGGGGCUUAACUCCGGGUGUGCAGUGGGUACGGGCAGACUAGAGUGCAGUAGGGGAGACUGGAAUUCCUGGUGUAGCGGUGAAAUGCGCAGAUAUCAGGAGGAACACCGAUGGCGAAGGCAGGUCUCUGGGCUGUUACUGACGCUGAGGAGCGAAAGCAUGGGGAGCGAACAGGAUUAGAUACCCUGGUAGUCCAUGCCGUAAACGUUGGGCACUAGGUGUGGGGGACAUUCCACGUUUUCCGCGCCGUAGCUAACGCAUUAAGUGCCCCGCCUGGGGAGUACGGCCGCAAGGCUAAAACUCAAAGGAAUUGACGGGGGCCCGCACAAGCGGCGGAGCAUGCGGAUUAAUUCGAUGCAACGCGAAGAACCUUACCAAGGCUUGACAUGUGCCAGACCGCCAUAGAGAUAUGGUUUCCCUUUUGGGCUGGUUCACAGGUGGUGCAUGGUUGUCGUCAGCUCGUGUCGUGAGAUGUUGGGUUAAGUCCCGCAACGAGCGCAACCCUCGUUCCAUGUUGCCAGCGGGUUAUGCCGGGGACUCAUGGGAGACUGCCGGGGUCAACUCGGAGGAAGGUGGGGACGACGUCAAAUCAUCAUGCCCCUUAUGUCUUGGGCUUCACGCAUGCUACAAUGGCCGGUACAAUGGGUUGCGAUACUGUGAGGUUGAGCUAAUCCCAAAAAGCCGGUCUCAGUUCGGAUUGGGGUCUGCAACUCGACCCCAUGAAGUCGGAGUCGCUAGUAAUCGCAGAUCAGCACGUGC